UCCCACUGCCCUUCUCUUCAGCCAAAUAUUAAAGCAUUUAAGACUAGAAUAUAAGGAACAACAAAAGCCACUUCUUGUUGAGAGUUCAAUAAAUAGAAUUUCCCACCAAAACAUGAGUAAUCAAAUAGAUGGAAGAGGGUAUUCUCCAGAGGCACCAGAUGAAAGAUCAGAAAACUUUGCUUGCCCACAGCUCUCCCAAGCCCCAAGAAAGAAGAAGAACAUCACCAAGAACAAGAGGAGAUUUAGUGAUGAACAGAUCAGAUUACUAGAGUCAAUUUUUGAAUCAGAGACCAAGCUCGAGCCCAGGAAGAAAUUGCAACUGUCCAGAGAGCUUGGGCUUCAACCUCGCCAGAUUGCUAUAUGGUUCCAGAAUAGAAGAGCUAGAUGGAAGUCAAAGCAGAUUGAGCAAGAGUACAAGACAUUAAGAGCUAAUUAUGACAAAUUAGCAUCCUGUUUUGAGUCCUUGAAGAAUGAAAGACAGUCUUUGCUCAUACAGUUGCAGAAGCUAAAUGAACUAUUGGAUCAACCUUGUGAUGGGAAUAUGACUUGCAAGGGUUUAGAAGGGAGCAACACUCUCAUUGCUACAAACAAUGGAAACAUCAAUAAUGAUCCUGAAGCACAACAGGGACUAAACAACACAGAAUUCAUGUGUUCACAAAACAAUAAGAGCAGGGACAUUGAGCACUCUGGGGAUGAAGGGCAUGAACUCCUCAACAGUGAUGAAUACACAGAUGGCUCAUUGGCAUCACCCAAUCAAUGGUGCAGUUUUCAUUCAGGUAGCCAGUUUGAUCUGUCAUCUAGCAGUUCACAGUGGUUUAAUUUCUGGACCUGAAAAUUCUGGUGUUUGCUCAAUAACUAGCUCCCUAUGCU
rnacentral:misc_RNA from 1 species